GACAUUGUCAAAGCAGAUCUUUAUUGUCAUAAACAAUUCAUAUACAAAUUCAAACGUUUAGCUUUUUUCAUAGGCAGUAGAGCUGAGUGCAUGAAGCUAAGAACUUUCCAUCUUUAUAUUAACUUUAUACAUGUUGCCUACUUGGCAUAAUUCUGGCAGCAUAAUAUAGAAACCUGUAGAAAUCACUAAGUGCUUGAAAACUAAAGACAUAAACCAAGAGAAAGUGAAUGGAAUAAAUAAAGAGUGAUUCUUUGCAAAUAGUUGAAUAUUAAACUGCACAGUGGAUUGGCUAUUCUGGAACUCCAAACCAAAAGCUGGCUGAGAUUGCUGAGAGUUGUCAGUUUAUAAAUUGCUUGCAACGCAUAACACUCGGUUUGCUUACAGAAUACAUUUUAAGAAAAUGGUGAUGAAAUAGAGUACACACUACAGCCAUGUUAUAUGAUGUGAGCAGAAGACAAACAGCAGGUAAGAACUUGAUGUACUACAUCCUAUGAGUCAUCCUGCACUGCUUUAAAAUUAGCAAAUGAAGUAUGAGCAGUGAGCUGAUGACAGACAAUUUCUUAUCCAUGGUAAUUUAAAGCACUAGACUAGACCAACCUCUAACACACUGGACAUGAUUAAAGAGACAUUCUAGGCAUCAAAAAGAAUGCAGUUGCCCCCUAAGAAUACACAAACCAACCAAUAGGAAUGGUGGAAAAUGCAAACUGGACUGAACCUGAACGACAAGGGUAGGAUCUUCGUUAUCACCCAAAAUUGCGAACUGAAAAUCUGUAACAAACGUUUGACACAGUCAUAACAGUAUAUGUUCCACCCAAUACACAAAAAAUAUAAAGAUCGCUCUCUCUUUUCUUAAAGACACAAGAGUAAUGUAAAUGAUAUGGUACCCCACCCCAACCCUAAGAUCAAAAACCAACAAGAACAGAGAAUGCAUUUACAUGCAAUGUAGAAAAGAUGAAACCAAUGUAGAAAGUCUUGAGCGUCAGCUCAAAAUGUUCGACUACUGUAAUCAGCACAUGUAUGUUCAGAGAAUAUUGUACCAUAAAAGUUACCCCCCUGUCUUCCUUUCUGUAUCCCCACCCCACAAUGAUCUUUUCCAAAAAUAGAGAAUUAAAAAAAAAAAAAAUGCAGUUGCUAGUGCGUCAUACAGAAUAACUGCAACGUCUUGAACAAGUGAAUGGAAGCUGUGCUCAGGAACAUUACUGAGCACAGACCUGCGUGUUGAUAGACCCGCGCAUGCAUUCUACCAUUCUCCCAUACAAAUCUAUAGGAGGGAAAGGAGUGGUUGACAAAUCAGUGUCAUUUCCUGGUUUAAGUGGAUGUCAGUUGAGUAGGAUCAGAGCGGAGAGAUUUGCUAAAAAACCGCGACAUGUAAAGGUAGAAUUUAUUAAUUUGUGUGUCUUUUAAAGAUUUAACAUCUAAAGAUACAGAAAAUGUUCACAAAAGGUCACCACCUCGUCCAUGGCAGUUUAAAGCAGGUUGUUAAUAUAAGAUCAUGAGCUUAGGCUUAAGUCAACAGAUGUCUACUACACCAUUGAAUGUUGUAACAGAACUUGAAAAAUAUCACUAAUGUUCACUAGUCAGGGGAAAAUAUUACCAGCCAAAUGUUACACAUACUGAAAGAUAUGCCAUAUUUUUCAUCUUGCCACUGACCCAUAGAAAUGUCUUCAUAUUUCUACAUUUCUUUUUGUCUUUCCUAUUAUAUCUGGAAUUGCAGUGUGCGUGCCUGCAAUAAUAGAACUGGAAUUGAUAUGUGUGUGUGCAGCAGGAUCUCUGGCUCGGUAUUGGAUACUGUGGAUUUGCAGCAGACGUACAGGAUGUAGGGUAUAUACAUUCGGGGCAGCUGGAACUAUUACAGGAGAUUUCCUGCCAAAAUCAGCCGAGUAAUGCAAAGCCAACUAGUGCAUGGAAAAUCAUCAUGGGAACCUAAAAUCGAACCAUUAUAUCGCAUGCAAACCAUGAGUCACAGACUAAAAUCAAAUAUUAAUAGCAUCAAAACAUUUUAAGAGGAAAUUCAAAGCAGAAGCUGUUUAUCUUUAUAAAUGCCAGGUGAAUCACGAAGUAUCUCCUUGAAUUUCAGCCUGUUGAUCUUUCUAGUACUAACGAGUUAAAUGAAAUCAGAAUGUGUGGAUACACUGAUUAUAAACCUUUAGCAGGGUGUAAAAAGUCAGAAAUGGGGUCAGUCAGACUGGAACAAAGGCCUAGGGAUUUCAAAGUCCCUCAGCCCAUUCUCACACUUCAGCGUGUACAUUGUUCAAGUGUAAAACCCAUAAACUGAUGAACCUUAACAAUUGGUUAUAAAUGUAUUUAUUAGCUAGAGAACUAGCUAGGAAAUUGCUAAAAUUUUAAUAAAAUAAUCCUGCUCAGUUCAAUGUUUUAAACUCUACUAUUUUUGCCUAAAUCCUCCUAUCUUUACAACAAAGGUCACUGUGUCAAAACCCAUUAUUCACCAGCAUUCAUCAGUAAAAAGCGGUAUUAAAAUAAAACAUCACUUUGUAAAAUAUAUGACUACAUACAAAAGUAAUGUUAGUUUUCUAAUAUUGACAUGAAUUACCAGACAUUACCCGCUGCUGUGUUACCCCUUUUUUACACAUCACGUGGUAAUUUAUGAAUCUACACACACAUCUAACUGGAAUAAGGUAGAUAUGUAUGUUGACUAUAUUAAAUAUUCUGUGUAAGUACGAGACUUAUAACAAAAUCGACUGAAAGUAAAAGUUAAGUAAAACCAUGUUUUUCGAUACAAGGGCCUACAAAAGACAUUCAAGAAUGUGUAUAGUUGUACACUAUUCUUAUUAUUAUUAUUGCCAUUUAUAUAGCGCCAACAGAUUCCUUAGCACUUUACAAUAUUAUGAGAGGGGGGGAUUUAACUAUAAAUAGGACUAAAAACUAAAUGUGUUUCUAUGCCCUACCCUUCUCUAGGCCUCCCAACAGUUCUGCAUUUGGUGGAACAGUACCAAUUUUGGAGUCCUGUCCCGCGCUCCUGCUUUAGUUCCCUGGUGCCCUGCAUCUGGGCACGGAACUGUCCCUGGUCAGCAUAGAGAAUGUGCAUCAUUUAAUGCUUUUGUGCUGUGUAGCUGCCCUAGGCCCAUGUAGGGAUCUAUUCCCACAUUGUCCUGAAGGCUAGGAGCCGGUUAUUCAGUGAGCAUGCCUGCACCUUUUAUUGGGCAUGCCCACCCAUUAACGGCAUUGCUAGUGACGUAACUAUUACCCCUUACUGAUAGUUGGAAGGUAUGUUCUCCCAUCCUAGGUUCGAGACAGUAAUUUUAUAUUGUCAGUCCCAAAUUUAACAUACCAUAUCUGCAUUUCUAUCAACUUAUUGCCUCCCAUUAUGCCAUGCCAUUCAUUUCAUACACAUUUUCACCCACCCACCUCAUGCCCCUACCUGACAGUUUUUUUAUGCCACCUAUGUCAUGCUUAUCCAUUGCUGUCAUUCAUUUGCCAUUGCUUAUUUCACCCAAUGGCAAAUCAGGGCCUGCUAAAAAUACCUCUGCACUCUGACAUAUAACCAGGUCCAAAUUUACUCUCUGUUGCUUACGCCAUGAUUUGGAGGAUGCAUAAGGAGUCAGAAAGUACAUAUCUCACUUUCCUCAUCCAAAAAACAAAAACACAGCAAAUACAAUUACUAUAUAGCAAAAUAAAAAUAUUUCAAAACUAAUCUAAAAAGGAAAAAAAAUUACAUUUGAUGUCAAGAUAAAUGUGCCUAGUACACAGGCUACUGUAGGCAGCUGCCCACUGGCAUUAUGUUAUUAAAGAAGUAAAAUGAAUACAUUUAAUGAAACUCAUUGUGAUGAUGUCAACCUAUACAAACUUUUAAAUGCUAAAGCAUUAUCUACAAUAUUAAAUGAUGUCAUAUAUGGACUUCCACAAAAUGUCAUUCAAAACCUCUACUUGUACACUGUGCAUAAAGCAUCCUAAUUCUUGAGAGGUUUGGAACUCUAGAAAUCAUUGUUUUCAUCAGGAUACUUAUCAUACUCCCCCCCACCCCCCUUUUUUUUACUGCUAUUUUUAAUUAGUUGACACAGUGGUUUAUUGUUCUCAUUGAAACCACAUACCUCCCAACAUUGCUAAGUAUGGAUUCGUAAUAUGGUGUGCGCACACUGUGCAACCCUCGGACUGUUUACUGUUGUGCCCGGAUGUGGGACACCAGAGAAAUAAAUUGUGAUGACGAAAUUAGGACAUGUUCGGGGGCAUGAUAAUGUGUUCAUCUUAUGUGCAGAAACAAAUACUAGCAUCAUAUAUUUAGAUAGAGAUAUACAUUUCCUUCCAUAGUGAACUAAACAUCGGGAUUUGCGUGUACAAGAUUAGGGGGAAAAAAAGAAUAUAUAUACGAAAAUCAUCUCUAUAGCAUCAAGAUUACAGUCAUCUAACACCUUUCAUUUUAACUGUCGAAUACACACCCAACCAUUUAGUACAACUGUCAAACAUUAAUUGUUUUAUAUUAAAGGGGCUUUCCUUUUAUUAAACUUUGCAAUAGAGUGCACUUCUCUUCAGGGCCAUAUGUCAAUGAAUUGAUUGCAUUAAUUAUUAAUUGUUCAUUCGGCAGAGCAGAGCAGUAAUAUUAGACAUUAAAUACUCUUCAAUUGCAGUUGCUAUAAAGAAGUGUUAAGUGCAGAUGACGAAUUAGAGAGUAUUUAUAACAUACAAUGAUAGGAUAUGUGUGAAGAUAAUGCAAUUUGCUCUGUAAUGAGGAAUAAAAGACACAAAAAUGUCAUUUGUGCCAGUGGCAUGUACAUAAAACUGGUUAAUUUGCUUUUACAUUUGAUGCAGACAGUGGAGCCUAAACCUGGUGAAUUUAAAUGAAUCAAAAGAAAAAAAAAAUCCGUUCAUGAAUGCUUUACCAGUUCUAAAUGCACAUUUCCAUUUCUUGUAUUAUAUUACCUGCUUCUUGUGCUUCAAUAAGCCAAGUUGGCACUUUUAUACAGCCCUGUAAAGCAAAGUGAAAAUGAUAUUGCUUGUAUAAUUCCAGGGGAACAUUCCAUAUUUUGAGAUUCCAUUUACUAGGUCACAUGGGCUCUCACUCUUUGCACUUUCAUUGAAUACAUGAUACCAGUGGAUCUUAACUGGGUUUUUUUGUUUUGUUUUUUUACAGGGUCCAAAUUAUUUACAUGGCAUUAGCCUGGUGAUCCAUUUUUAAAAAAGCUAAAAUUAUCUCUUUCCCCUUCCUUUCCUCGGUGAAGGCACUUUCAUUACCGUAAACAAUUUAUUGUGGGCAGUUGCCUGGGUGCUGACAAAUAUGAGGUGUCUAUUCAAAGCAUUACGGACCCACUGGAAUGACUUGAGGACCUGGUUUGUGUCCUGUCUCUGGGGGAUAAGAUUACUGCGUUACAUUGACCAAAAUGAAACAUUAUUACAGAGACUAAAGCAAUACUUUUUAAUGUACCUGCCCACUUUUAAGGAUUUAGGCUGGCAGAGGGCCUCAUUGAGAAGCAACACUGCUAAUUUAGGGUGUCCUCUUGGCUGGCAUUCACUCAAAGCUGUGUGCACCAAUGACAUCACUGACGUGAACGCAUAGUUAUGCGCCGUCACAUUAUCCUGUAUCACUCCUGCAAGUUACCAAAAGGGUAAAACUCCACUGAAAUAAGUUUAACAUAAAGACAAAUAAUAACUAAACUUUACACAUAAAUCCAGCCACAUGCAAUCUUUACACAUAUAUACACACAGUAACAGAUUGACUCUUCUGGACUUAAAGUAUAUUUAAAACAAAAUGUUUAUUGAAAAAAGUAAACGUAGAUGUAUAUAUUACGCAGACCACGAUAUUGUGCACAAAUCUGCCAUAAGCAAUCACCGAUUACUUGGCUCAUAAAGUGUACCCAUACAACUUCCUUCUGGUGAGGAGGUGAACCUCCUGAGUUCAAGGAGGCUGUAUGGUGACACUUUAUGGGCUAAGCAGGUGAUUAUUGAAGGCAGAUUAUUGCACAAUGUGGUCUAUGCUAUAUAUACACCCAUUUUUACGUUUUAAAUAAACAUUAUGUUUUAAAUCUACUUUGAAGUCCAAGAGAGUCGAUCUUUGGUUUUUCUGUUGCUUGGCCAAACGCUUGCCACUGUGUUUAAAUUGACUCUAGGACACCACUUCAAUUUUAAUACAUGCAAAAAUGGAACCUGUGUGAAACAACCCAAGUACGGGGGAGCACAUUUUUCUAUGUUUGCAUAACCACACAUUACACAUACACAUACAAACAAUGCUAUAUUUUGUAUAUGUAAUCACACAUACAUUAUGCAGUCACUCAUGUAUACACAGACACACAACAAUUAACACACACAUUGCAUUUGCAUACAUAUUUACAUAUAUGUCUGCAAGGGACAUGCUAGCAUAGUAUGUGCGGUUCAGGCCAUUAAGGGGAAACAGUUUGCUUGCCCCAGAAUAUUCUUUGGCCUGUUAGUUAAUCAUAUAGAUAGGUCCAUAGAAGAUUCAAUUAGAAGAAGAAAAAAGAGUGGAUGGAAGGAGCAGCAAUAUGUGCUUAAAUGGAAACUCUCAGUUCUAAUAUUCAUUUUUUUUUUUUUUUUUAAUUCUUUAUUUUUGGUGCGUUUUCGUUUUUACACGAUCACGUCCGGCCCCAACAGCCAGGACGGACACUGUAAUUAUAAUGCAGAGUAACAAGGUUGGUAACGGGUUAGUUAACAAAACAUCUUAGGAAACAUUCGCACAUUUUGUUUUUACAUGGGAGUACUAGUAGGUUUUGUUGUAGCAUUGUGUUAAGUUAUGAGUGCGUUGGUGAGGGGAGCAUGUGGGUAACCAAUGUGUUAG